rnacentral:rRNA from 1 species
CCUACGGGAGGCUGCAGUGGGGAAUAUUGCACAAUGGGGGAAACCCUGAUGCAGCGACGCCGCGUGAGUGAAGAAGCGUUUCGGCGCGUAAAGCUCUGUCAGUGGGGAAGAAACACGGUUCGCGAGAGCCGCGGACGGUACCCGAUCAAGAAGCCCCGGCUAACUACGUGCCAGCAGCCGCGGUAAUACGUAGGGGGCGAGCGUUGUCCGGAAUGACUGGGCGUAAAGGGAGUGUAGGCGGCAUAUUAAGUUAUGUGUGAAAGCCCGCGGCUCAACCGCGGAAUUGCACAUGAGACUGGUAAGCUUGAGUGCAGGAGAGGUAAGUGGAAUUCCCGGUGUAGCGGUGGAAUGCGUAGAUAUCGGGAGGAACACCAGAGGCGAAGGCGACUUGCUGGACUGUAACUGACGCUGAGGCUCGAAAGCGUGGGGAGCAAACAGGAUUAGAUACCCCGGUAGUC